AAAGAAUUGAGAAGUUUUUUUUGGUCAGGCACCACCUACCCUGAUCUUCAAAUACUGCUUUGAUCACACUGACUGCAAUUCAAGAUCUUACUAUACACCGACAAGAUCAGAGGGCAGUAGACUUGAAAAGAAGUUGUGGUAACAAUAGAUGGGGUCUCAAAACUACAGGUCCUCAAAUUUAAAGAAUUUAAACUGAUCAGCCACAGAUUUUGACAGCUUCAAAUAAGCACUGAUGGAGGUACGGUGUCAUAACCCAAAGAUUUUUCCUAACAUGAGUGCAUCCUUUGCUAUGUCAAAGUCUUGCUUUAGCUGUUUUA